rnacentral:rRNA from 1 species
UACGUAGGGGGCAAGCGUUGUCCGGAAUUAUUGGGCGUAAAGGGUGCGUAGGCGGCCUUUUAAGUCAGAUGUGAAAGCCCGCGGCUUAACUGCGGGAUUGCAUUUGAAACUGGGAGGCUUGAGUAUCGGAGAGGGUAGUGGAAUUCCCAGUGUAGCGGUGAAAUGCGUAGAUAUUGGGAGGAACACCAGUGGCGAAGGCGACUGCCUGGACGAAAACUGACGCUGAGGCACGAAAGCUAGGGGAGCAAACAGG